rnacentral:rRNA from 1 species
GGCCUAACACAUGCAAGUCGAACGGUAACAGAGAGCAGCUUGCUGCUCUGCUGACGAGUGGCGGACGGGUGAGUAAUGUCUGGGAAACUGCCUGAUGGAGGGGGAUAACUACUGGAAACGGUAGCUAAUACCGCAUAACGUCUUCGGACCAAAGUGGGGGACCUUCGGGCCUCAUGCCAUCAGAUGUGCCCAGAUGGGAUUAGCUAGUAGGUGGGGUAAAGGCUCACCUAGGCGACGAUCCCUAGCUGGUCUGAGAGGAUGACCAGCCACACUGGAACUGAGACACGGUCCAGACUCCUACGGGAGGCAGCAGUGGGGAAUAUUGCACAAUGGGCGCAAGCCUGAUGCAGCCAUGCCGCGUGUAUGAAGAAGGCCUUCGGGUUGUAAAGUACUUUCAGCGAGGAGGAAGGGGUUGUGGUUAAUAACCGCAGUCAUUGACGUUACUCGCAGAAGAAGCACCGGCUAACUCCGUGCCAGCAGCCGCGGUAAUACGGAGGGUGCAAGCGUUAAUCGGAAUUACUGGGCGUAAAGCGCACGCAGGCGGUUUGUUAAGUCAGAUGUGAAAUCCCCGGGCUCAACCUGGGAACUGCAUUUGAAACUGGCAGGCUUGAGUCUCGUAGAGGGGGGUAGAAUUCCAGGUGUAGCGGUGAAAUGCGUAGAGAUCUGGAGGAAUACCGGUGGCGAAGGCGGCCCCCUGGACGAAGACUGACGCUCAGGUGCGAAAGCGUGGGGAGCAAACGGGAUUAGAUACCCUGGUAGUCCACGCCGUAAACGAUGUCGACUUGGAGGUUGUGCCCUUGAGGCGUGCUUCCGGAGCUAACGCGUUAAGUCGACCGCCUGGGGAGUACGGCCGCAGGUUAAAACUCAAAUGAAUUGACGGGGCCCGCAAAGCGUGGAGCAUGUGUUUAAUUCGAUGCA